rnacentral:rRNA from 1 species
AGUGAACGCUGGCUACAGGCUUAACACAUGCAAGUCGAGGGGUAACGAGAGGAAAGCUUGCUUUUCUUGUUGACGACCGGCGCACGGGUGAGUAACGCGUAUCCAACCUGCCUAUAACUAGGGAAUAACCUUGCGAAAGUAAGACUAAUACCCUAUGAUUUCCUUUGAUGACAUCAGAUUAGGAAUAAAGAUUUAUCGGUUAUAGAUGGGGAUGCGUCUGAUUAGCUUGUUGGCGGGGUAACGGCCCACCAAGGCAACGAUCAGUAGGGGUUCUGAGAGGAAGGUCCCCCACAUUGGAACUGAGACACGGUCCGAACUCCUACGGGAGGCAGCAGUGAGGAAUAUUGGUCAAUGGGCGGAAGCCUGAACCAGCCAAGUAGCGUGCAGGAUGACGGCCCUAUGGGUUGUAAACUGCUUUUAUACAGGAAUAAAGUUAGCCACGUGUGGUUAUUUGUAGGUACUGUAUGAAUAAGGACCGGCUAAUUCCGUGCCAGCAGCCGCCGCGG